CUCGGAGGCGUGCGUAGGGCUGGCCGUAAUCCUGCCGCAGGGCCGCGGCCGCCCGUGCACGGCGCCCCGCGGGCAGCCCCAGGGGUGCGAGGGGACCCAGGGGCGGACUACGUGUCCCAGCACGCCCGCGGGUGACUCCCCGCCGGAAGCGCAGUCCCGCGGCGCACUGCGCGCUGGGAACGGUAGUCGCGGCGGGGACCCACCAGGCUCUGCCUGGCCCGCGCCAUUUUGCUUUUCCGGUGCGGCAGGGACUGGUGCGGGGAUGCAGAGCCCGGCGGUGCUCUCAGCCACCGGCCGGGGCACCCUCCCCUUUUGGGAACCUUCUAAAAUGUUGGCUAGUGCAGAGGAAUGAAAUAAAACAUGCCAGUGAGAACGAGGUAUGAUGGAGAGGAGAUUUUCUAUUGUGUCCAGUACAUUGUGCUUUAAGCACUUCAUGGAAGCACUAUCACAUGUAGAAGAAUACUUGUUACACCCAAGUGGAUUUUCCUGAAAGCUAUAGUGCAUGAACAGUUUCUAGUAAUUGGAAUGUGAGGCAUCCUGAAGAUUUCCUGGCAACAGGAAUUACAACAGGUAGAGGAAAAUGGGCCAAAAUGUAGGAACUUACUUUUAGAAGCUUUUAGCUUAUUCAGUGAUGAGCUGGACACUUUGUCAGAGCUGUCUGACAAAUGUGGAUGAUCAGUAACCAGGAAGAAGUUACACCUGAAAAGAUCUGUGGCUUGGAGUGGGAUGCUGUGCUUUUACAUCCUGCUGAAACAGCUGCUGCAACUUUGUUUAGUAGAUGCUGUUUUCAGAAACUGCAUAUAGACCAAAAUCACUGUCUGCGUGUCUAAAAUAGUGCCUUACUAAAAUAUUAAGCUGCCCUCUCUAGGAAGGAUAGCAGCAAAAUUAGCGAAAUGAAUGUUGAGCAUUAAUACAUGGAAAACCCCCUGAGCAGUUACCCUUUUAAAAUACUGUAUUGGUUACACGUUCUGAUACUGAAAAUCUGCGAUAACUCAGGACAACAGAGCUCACAUGCGAGCCCUGUAAAGACAAGGGAGAGCAAAAUGAGUACACAAAUGCAAACCAGGGAGUCUGUGUUUUGAGGGUGAUGUCAUCCAGGAAAUGGGAGAAAGUAUAGAAGGUGAUGGUGUUACGGAAGCAUAAACCUGAAACACUUGUAAGAAAGAAAAAAAUAUGUCUUCAGAUCGCAUCAUAGUUUGUAUCAGUUGAGGAACCAAGGAGUUGGGUUUUUAUUGACUGCCACUUAGGCAUGGAAAGACUAGUACCGCAACAGUGGAACUGCUCCUUGAGGAACACACUGGCAAUAUUAGCUGCUUGCAGUGUGGGGAGAAGAGGUCAGUGGUGGGAAAAGAGACCACAUACACUAGAACUUGUGCUUUAGACAGUCACUUGAAAAGUACCAGUGCUGUAUCACAGUAGCAGCAUAUUUGCUGUAUUUGUCAAAUUGUCACUCUUACACAGAGGAAUGAAGGCUCAUAAAUUGGUCACCAAGUAAAUUGGAUUUUCAAGAUGACUGUGUAUGACUCCAUCUGCCUUAAAAUGUCAAGCCUAAUUGUCAGAAAUGCUUUAUGAAGGAAGAAACACGAGAAUGGCAUAAUAACUAACAAUUAAAAGAGCUACAGUUACUGAAUCAUUUUGAAAUGCACCAAAAUACAUAAAAACAACCCUAAAGUCUGCAACCAAAAAUAACAGCAUUGGGUGCUAGCAGCUCUCUAGAGAAAUUCCUAUAACUCAUGGAGUGUGCCUGUGAUAAGUGACAAAUACCAUGUAAAUCCCAAUUUUCUACCUGAGCAGUAUGAAGUGCAAGACACUACCAGGAACAGCACAUGAACUAUUGAAAUUUAAAGUAAGUGUCCAAUAGAUUACUAAAAUGUAUGCUAAGGUACUGACAAAAUUCCAGGUGUGUAUUGCCUCACUGAGCAUCUCCUAUAGUUUAUUAUUGUUAAUAAGCAGCGGCCAGCUGCUUUUCAGCAAGCAGCUGUAAAUCAGUCUCUUGAAUGUUGGAAUCUUCAGAAAUUUACUACAGAACAGCUUUCCCUUCGUCUCUUUCAACAGGCUUUAUUUCUGUGUUUCUCAGAAUGGUAGGUAUUUCCAUGUGCCAUGUUUUGUACAUGCUUUCCCUUGAAUAAAGAUGAGGAUGUGAAAAACUUG